rnacentral:rRNA from 1 species
GUCUACAGCCAUGCCACUCUGAACAAGCCUGAUCCCUUCUGAUCUCAGAAACUAAGCAGGGUCGGGCCUGGUUAGUACUUGGAUAGGUGACCACCUAGGAAGACCAGGUGUUGUAGGCA